rnacentral:lncRNA from 1 species
GACCUCCUUUGUCCUUACUAAACAUAAGUAUGCUGUACAUUGUUUUGCUGUUGUUACCCCCCCUUAACCAUACUAAAAAAAACACCUAUAGAAGGGUGUCCCCACUGUACACAUACUACACGGUCAGGGAACAGUACAACUAAAACCCUAUUAUACUAUAUGUAUUAUAAAUGGGUCCCCCUCACGCUCUGGGUCAGAGUUCCUUUACAGACGGACCUGAGAGGCAACUCACCGACUCCUGCCCUGGACCUUCCUGCGCCACUGAAC